AUCGUCUCCAGCCUCAGCAUAAAGAUAGCCCACAUGCCACCAGUGCUUCGUCAAAAACAUCCAAAUUUCCACCAACAGCCCGUGUCCAGCCUCAACAAAAGCACAGACGCCUGCUAGAACUGUAUCAUCGACCAGAUCCAAACUCCUCGCAACAGGGAGUGCGCAUAAGCUUCGGCCACAGAAGGUCAGGCAAUACAAUUGAAUGACAUGCCCUCUCAGUGCAACAUCCGCCUAAUAACACGCCCAAGCUUAGAGAUCAACUCCAGCCUUAACAUAAGCAUGCGCCCGUGCAAGGUUUGCAUCGUCGGUAGGAUGCGAACUCCCGUGCUAAGAACUUUCCGCCACACCACCUCAAGCAAUACAACCGAAUGACAUUGCCCUCAGAGUGC
rnacentral:lncRNA from 1 species